GAUGAACGCUAGCGGGAGGCUUAACACAUGCAAGUCGAGGGGCAGCACGGGUAGCAAUACCUGGUGGCGACCGGCAGACGGGUGAGUAACGCGUAUGUAACCUACCCUGUACAGGGGGAUAACCCGGAGAAAUUCGGACUAAUAUCCCAUAGAAACAUUGAGAGGCAUCUUUUAAUAUUUAAAGUUACGGCGGUACGGGAUGGGCAUGCGUAACAUUAUGUAGUCGGUAAGGUAACGGCUUACCAAGGCUUUGAUGUUUCGGGGUCCUGAGAGGGUGGUCCCCCACACUGGUACUGAGACACGGACCAGACUCCUACGGGAUGCAGCAGUGAGGAAUAUUGGUCAAUGGGCGCAAGCCUGAACCAGCCAUCCCGCGUGCAGGAAGACGGCCCUAUGGGUUGUAAACUGCUUUUCCAGGGGGAGAAACUUGCGCACGUGUUGCGCAAUUGACGGUACCCUGGGAAUAAGCAUCGGCUAACUCCGUGCCAGCAGCCGCGGUAAUAC
rnacentral:rRNA from 1 species